rnacentral:rRNA from 1 species
AUGCAGUCGAACGCUGAUGCUCCCAGCUUGCUGGGGGUGGAUGAGUGGCGAACGGGUGAGUAACACGUGAGUAACCUGCCCCGAACUCUGGGAUAAGCGCUGGAAACGGCGUCUAAUACUGGAUAUGUCCUAUCACCGCAUGGUGUGUAGGUGGAAAGAAUUUUGGUUCGGGAUGGACUCGCGGCCUAUCAGCUAGAUGGUGAGGUAAUGGCUCACCAUGGCGACGACGGGUAGCCGGCCUGAGAGGGUGACCGGCCACACUGGGACUGAGACACGGCCCAGACUCCUACGGGAGGCAGCAGUGGGGAAUAUUGCACAAUGGGCGCAAGCCUGAUGCAGCAACGCCGCGUGAGGGAUGACGGCCUUCGGGUUGUAAACCUCUUUUAGUAGGGAAGAAGCGAAAGUGACGGUACCUGCAAAAAAAGCACCGGCUAACUACGUGCCAGCAGCCGCGGUAAUACGUAGGGUGCAAGCGUUGUCCGGAAUUAUUGGGCGUAAAGAGCUCGUAGGCGGCUUGUCGCGUCUGCUGUGAAAACCAGAGGCUCAACCUCUGGCCUGCAGUGGGUACGGGCAAGCUAGAGUGCGGUAGGGGAGAUUGGAAUUCCUGGUGUAGCGGUGGAAUGCGCAGAUAUCAGGAGGAACACCGAUGGCGAAGGCAGAUCUCUGGGCCGUAACUGACGCUGAGGAGCGAAAGCAUGGGGAGCGAACAGGAUUAGAUACCCUGGUAGUCCAUGCCGUAAACGUUGGGAACUAGAUGUAGGGCCUGUUCCACGGGUUCUGUGUCGUAGCUAA